UGCGUUCUUCAAGCCGAAAGGCAUACGCU
rnacentral:sRNA from 1 species